AGUCUUACCUGGAUGUGAAGAACCUUGAAGAACCCAUCACACAGUGAGUAAGCUACCGUCAGUUGUGUUGCAUUAAAAGCUCACUAGCGCCUCUCUGUGGUCUUUUUAAACACUGGCUGUUGAGGGCUCACUUAAACGACAUUACAAAACGGGGCAGAUGAUUUCACUAAUUACAAACACGUCGUUUUAAAUGUUUAGUUUAAAUACUCGUGUUGACAAAAGUGUGGCGCAAUGUCCGAACGCAAACACAAGUCACAUGGAAACUUCUCGAAGAACAGCACGUUACAUUUGUGUGAAGAAAAUUAUAAGGCAGAGACGAAGGGAUUUCAAGGACGCGCGGACUUGAAUUUAAUCGAAGAGGCUGAGAGUGGAGUGGAAGAGUGACACACAGAGGAGAGAAGUUCAUUAUUCUGCUGAAAAGGAAACCAAUGGCUUUCACUGUCACCAUGGCAACCGGCCUUUCUUUUGCCGUCAGACCAAUGAUAAGACUCGUGCUGUCCUCUGUCUCACCUCUUGGCUCAGCCCAAGGCAAGGUGACCAAAUUCAUCUCCGUCCUCUCCAUCCAUUAUCUUGUCAACACAGGAGCUUCCCGCCUCAGUUUGCUGCUCUCCCUGAAGACUGGCUCUAAUGAAAUAACCAAAUAAUCACUGCACUCAUCUCAUCAGGCUGAAGGUGUGUGUGAGUGACAGUUUUUCUAAUGGCCCACACCUAUCCACUGGCUCACAUGUAGAGAUGAUCAUCUGAACUGGAUCCCAUCGGUGUGGGUGGAGCAAGGGGUCCAGGAGGAAGGCAGGUUUGGGCCUGAAAGACGUGCCAGACCUGCUGCCAAAGCAUCAGCCUCCACCUCACCCUGCAGACAUGGCUGAACACACACGCAUGCAUGCACUCAAACAUGCACACGGCAUCAAUGCGCACGUUUUAUAACCGGAUUUUGUUCCAGUCGGACGUUAUUUCUUCAUUUCCCCGUCUCUUCACCGCUCACCUUAGCUCAGAGACCCCUUAAACAACACGCAUUCUUAUCGUCUUUACGUCUGUCCUCCUCCUCGCUAAUGAUGGACUUGUCACAGAGUCUCAUGCCUCACGUCAGACGUUGACUAGAUCGAGCCACAUUCACACGGUCUCCCUUGACACAAAGGUAAACACAUUUAUGAAUUGUGUUCGUCAGUUGUGUCUUAGGCAUGCCCUAUUUUUAAACUGCAAGCACACCUACACACAUUCUCCCAUAGCGGGGCACACCCACCGCGGCCCAUGUCAUGCUAUCAGACUGUCCUCAUCACAGAAAACACCCUGCGCACUUGUAGGACGAGGAACUACAGUCAGGUGAGUUCAGUCCCCACACCUAACACCGGCCCUGUGUUUUCAACGGUGUUUCCUUCACCUUCCCCGUAGCUAACGCUGCAGCACCUACUGAUUAUUGCACCCUAUGUCUUAGUCUGAUAAUUGCACCGUACAAACCUGUCUGGGUUUAAAAGCCCACGUGCUGAGGACUCACAGCCCCUCUGCACCCUGACGGGUGAAAGAGUCAGUCCACAGAAAGACGCAUGUGUUCAGAGUUCCAGCGACGUGCCUCCGUUGUCUGUUGUUAAUGAAACAUUUCAACCACAAACUACCUGCAAGUGUAAUUUCAGAAGCACAAAGACACGCAGCAGAGGAUUCAGUCUCUCCUCGCUUUAAGCCGUGAUGGUUUUUUUGACUGUCAUUUGACAUAUGAAUCAUGACAAACUUCUGAACCUGUUGAUUUCUUAGUGACAUGUCAGUGAGUCACACUCCGCUGCCCAUGCGAUUCAGCCGUAGUUGUCCGUAUGUCACCUGUAGCCACAGUGUUGUCACAGUAGAUUCUUUUGGGUUUUGGUUUCCUGUUCCCUCCUACUGAAAUCAGUUUUUCCUCUGAACUUCAGAUCAGACACAGCUUAUCUCUGUAUCCAAUGAUUUGAUCUGCUGGCUACAUUUUUAAUCCCCCUGCUCAUUGUCCAGUUGACUGUUAACAACCAGUGCCUUUGUGGUUUACUAAACAUGUUUUUGACUGUGCGGCAGAAUUACACUUUUGACUUUCACUGUAAAUAUUGAAGGAUUGUGAUUUUUCCGACACAACGCUUUGAUGGUUCACUAUAGCGAAGGAGCGUCUGUUGUGGAAAAAUGUUUGAAAUGAGAUUAAACACAAAAGUAAGAAGAUGAAGGCAAAGCCGUCAAUCUGAUUUCGGAGUGUUUGUCUGCUCUGUUCACGGGAGAAACAAAGUGGAAUGAGGAGUGGCCACAGAUGUUUGUCACACAGGCUGCGUCGGAAAAUACUCAUGAAGCACUCGUCUGUACUCAUCCAGCUGCAUUACAUUUGUCUGUUAAAGUCACAGCCACAGACACAAUGCACCUGAACUGGUGUCUGUAACUCAUUAGUUCUCAUAUACAUUUAAUUUUUUUUUGUGCUAUACGUUAAU